rnacentral:rRNA from 1 species
CCGCGGUAAUACGUAGGGUGCGAGCGUUAAUCGGAAUUACUGGGCGUAAAGCGCAUGCAGGCGGCCGCACAAGUUGGAUGUGAAAUCUCCCGGCUCAACUGGGAGGGGACGUUCAAAACUGUGCGGCUCGAGGGCGGUAGAGGAAGGUAGAAUUCCCGGUGUAGUGGUGAAAUGCGUAGAUAUCGGGAGGAAUACCCGUGGCGAAGGCGACCUUCUGGACCGUUUCUGACGCUCAGAUGCGAAAGCUAGGGGAGCGAACGGG